UACGUAGGCAGCAAGCGUUGUUCGGAAUUACUGGGCGUAAAGAGUGUGUAGGCGGUGCUCCAAGUCUGGUGUGAAAUCUCCCGGCUUAACUGGGAGGGUGCAUUAGAAACUGGAAUGCUAGAGGAUGGGAGAGGUAAGCGGAAUUCCUGGUGUAGCGGUGAAAUGCGUAGAUAUCAGGAGGAACACCUGUGGUGUAGACAGCUUACUGGACCAUUUCUGGCGCUGAGACACGAAAGCGUGGGUAGCAAACAGG
rnacentral:rRNA from 1 species